rnacentral:rRNA from 1 species
CUUAGUUCGUUGUGGAGCACAUGAAAACUCCACAGUUAAGCGUACUAAGGUGGGAGUAGUACUAAGAUGGGUGACCUCCUGUAAAGUCUCCACCUGGGC